rnacentral:rRNA from 1 species
AAUUGAAGGCCCAAAUCUGACCGAGCACGCCGCGUGAGUGAAGAAGGUUUUCGGAUCGUAAAACUCUGUUGUUAGAGAAGAACAAGGAUGAGAGUAAAAUGUUCAUCCCUUGACGGUAUCUAACCAGAAAGCCACGGCUAACUACGUGCCAGCAGCCGCGGUAAUACGUAGGUGGCAAGCGUUGUCCGGAUUUAUUGGGCGUAAAGCGAGCGCAGGCGGUUUCUUAAGUCUGAUGUGAAAGCCCCCGGCUCAACCGGGGAGGGUCAUUGGAAACUGGGAGACUUGAGUGCAGAAAAGGAGAGUGGAAUUCCAUGUGUAGCGGUGAAAUGCGUAGAUAUAUGGAGGAACACCAGUGGCGAAGGCGGCUCUCUGGUCUGUAACUGACGCUGAGGCUCGAAAGCGUGGGGAGCGAACAGGAUUAGAUACCCCCGUAGUCCAA